rnacentral:snoRNA from 1 species
GGCAUAGCUCGAAGGUCAUCAUCGUUUUACUACUUCAUCGUAGGGUGCUUUAGGCUCACAGUCUGUGCGAGA